rnacentral:tRNA from 1 species
GGUUCCGUGGUCUAGUUGGUUAUGACAUUUCGUUAACAUCGUUUAACGCCACCGAAAAGGUCCCCGGUUCGAGCCCGGGCGGAAUCA